rnacentral:rRNA from 1 species
GCCUAACACAUGCAAGUCGAGCGGCAGCGGAAAGUAGCUUGCUACUUUGCCGGCGAGCGGCGGACGGGUGAGUAAUGUCUGGGAAACUGCCUGAUGGAGGGGGAUAACUACUGGAAACGGUAGCUAAUACCGCAUAAUGUCUACGGACCAAAGUGUGGGACCUUCGGGCCACAUGCUAUCGGAUGCGCCUACGUGGGACUAGCUAGUUGGUGAGGUAAUGGCUCACCAAGGGGACGAUCUCUAGCUGGUUUGAGAGGAUGAUCAGCAACACUGGGACUGAGACACGGUGCAGACUCCUACGGGAGGCAGCAGUGGGGAAUAUUGGACAAUGGGCGCAAGCCUGAUCCAGCCAUGCCGCGUGUGUGAAGAAGGCCUUCGGGUUGUAAAGCACUUUCAGCGAGGAGGAAGGGUGGUGUGUUAAUAGCACAUCAUUUUGACGUUACUCGCAGAAGAAGCACCGGCUAACUCUGUGCCAGCCGCCGCAGUAAUAC